rnacentral:rRNA from 1 species
UACGUAGGAGGCGAGCGUUGUCCGGAAUUACUGGGCGUAAAGAGCGCGUAGGUGGCUCGAUACGACCGGUGUGAAAUCCUCCGGCUCAACUGGAGGGGGUCACUGGUAACGGUCGUGCUUAUGAGUGCAGGAGAGGGACGUGGAACUCCGGGAGUAGCGGUGAAAUGCGUAGAGACCCGGAGGAACACCAGUGGCGAAGGCGGCGUCCUGGCCUGCGACUGACGCUGUGGCGCGAAAGCUAGGGGAGCGAACGGG